rnacentral:rRNA from 1 species
UACGGGGGGGGCAAGCGUUGUUCGGAAUUACUGGGCGUAAAGGGCUCGUAGGUGGCCAACUAAGUCACACGUGAAAUCCCUCGGCUUAACCGGGGAACUGCGUCUGAUACUGGAUGGCUCGAGUUUGGGAGAGGGAUGCGGAAUUCCAGGUGUAGCGGUGAAAUGCGUAGAUAUCUGGAGGAACACCGGUGGCGAAGGCGGCAUCCUGGACCAACACUGACGCUGAUGAGCGAAAGCCAGGGGAGCAAACGGG